GAUCCUGGCUUAGGACGAACGCUGGCGGCGUGCCUAAUACAUGCAAGUCGAACGGCUUUUCUAUGGAAGCUUGCUUCCACUGAGAAGAUAGUGGCGAACGGGUGAGUAACACGUGGGUAACCUGCCCAUAAGAGGGGGGAUAACAUCCGGAAACGGGUGCUAAUACCGCAUAGUUUUCUUGAUCGCAUGAUCGGGAAAGGAAAGACGGCCUUUGUGCUGUCGCUUAUGGAUGGACCCGCGGCGUAUUAGUUAGUUGGUGAGGUAACGGCUCACCAAGACGAUGAUACGUAGCCGACCUGAGAGGGUGAUCGGCCACAUUGGGACUGAGACACGGCCCAAACUCCUACGGGAGGCAGCAGUAGGGAAUCUUCCGCAAUGGACGAAAGUCUGACGGAGCAACGCCGCGUGAGUGAAAGAAGGUUUUCGGAUCGUAAAACUCUGUUGUCAGAGAAGAACAAGUUGGAGAGUAACUGCUCCAGCCUUGACGGUAUCUGACCAGAAAGCCACGGCUAACUACGUGCCAGCCGCCGC
rnacentral:rRNA from 1 species